rnacentral:lncRNA from 1 species
CUUGUGCCUCCUUCUCCCGCACCCUCAUCCCCCCCACCUUCACCUCUCCCUCCCUCGCCUUUACCCGUAUCACCACCUCUACCACCACCGCCUUCGCCCGCGCCUCCAUCACCCCUUCCUUCACCUCCACCGCCUUCGCCGACACCGCCUUCGCCCGCGCCUCCAUCACCCCUUCCUUCACCUCCACCGCCUUCGCCGACACCGCCUUCGCCCGCGCCUCCAUCACCCCUUCCUUCACCUCCACCGCCUUCGCUGACACCGC